UAGAGUCCUCAGCACGUUACGUAAAGAGUCGGUCACAUAGUGCUCUUUGGGCAACAUUUAGGAGGAAAACCCAUGAUUUCGUGGUCCUGUAGAUGUCUACCCGGAGAGAUAACGUGUUUGCCCGGGGUAAAACCAAUGUAUAAAACCAAUAUUUAUACAAACUGCGGCAGGUAACUGCCCUGGCUAGCCAUAUCAGUAACGCUAAGCUAUUUGUCUAUGAGCUAACGUUAGCUAGCGCAGCGUAGAGGAAGAGCAGAGCUGAGAGGCUCAUUUCUUUAGAAAAAAAAAACAGGGUUUAAACGUCGAUGUUGCCCCGUACAAAAAAAGUAUCACACUGGCCACUUAAUAGACAACAAUUAGAUCAAGACAAUACCUUUGAAGGUAAAGUUUGUAAGAAAAAAGUUUUGACUUACGCCCCCUUGGUUUGCUUACGGAACGCUAUGAGGCCGUAAGCUCAACUGAAGUGCGGAGGUGACUCUCGCCAUUUCUGUAGGGAAGACGUCAGUAUUUCAACCGCCAAAACAGGUGACCAAGCUGUGCCUGCGUUGUGAUUGGAUCUCAAUGUGAAAAUCAGCAAAGCUGAGCUGACGGACUUGUCGACAAAGAUACAUCACACC